GAUGAACGCUGGCGGCGUGCCUAAUACAUGCAAGUCGAGCGAACGGACGAGAAGCUUGCUUCUCUGAUGUUAGCGGCGGACGGGUGAGUAACACGUGGAUAACCUACCUAUAAGACUGGGAUAACUUCGGGAAACCGGAGCUAAUACCGGAUAAUAUUUUGAACCGCAUGGUUCAAAAGUGAAAGACGGUCUUGCUGUCACUUAUAGAUGGAUCCGCGCUGCAUUAGCCAGUUGGUAAGGUAACGGCUUACCAAGGCAACGAUGCAUAGCCGACCUAAGAGGGUGAUCGGCCACACUGGAACUGAGACACGGUCCAGACUCCUACGGGAGGCAGCAGUAGGGAAUCUUCCGCAAUGGGCGAAAGCCUGACGGAGCAACGCCGCGUGAGUGAUGAAGGUCUUCGGAUCGUAAAACUCUGUUAUUAGGGAAGAACAUAUGUGUAAGUAACUGUGCACAUCUUGACGGUACCUAAUCAGAAAGCCACGGCUAACUACGUG
rnacentral:rRNA from 1 species